GCGUCAGUCCAACCCCUGUGACAUACCACUUGUUGCCUCGGCGGAUCAGCCCGCUCCCGGUAAAACGGGACGGCCCGCCAGAGGACCCCUAAACUCUGUUUCUAUAUGUAACUUCUGAGUAAAACCAUAAAUAAAUCAAAACUUUCAACAACGGAUCUCUUGGUUCUGGCAUCGAUGAAGAACGCAGCAAAAUGCGAUAAGUAAUGUGAAUUGCAGAAUUCAGUGAAUCAUCGAAUCUUUGAACGCACAUUGCGCCCGCCAGUAUUCUGGCGGGCAUGCCUGUUCGAGCGUCAUUUCAACCCUCAAGCACAGCUUGGUGUUGGGACUCGCGUUAAUUCGCGUUCCUCAAAUUGAUUGGCGGUCACGUCGAGCUUCCAUAGCGUAGUAGUAAAACCCUCGUUACUGGUAAUCGUCGCGGCCACGCCGUUAAACCCCAACUUCUGAAUGUUGACCUCGGAUCAGGUAGGAAUACCCGCUGAACUUAAGCAUAUC
rnacentral:rRNA from 1 species